rnacentral:rRNA from 1 species
GACGUAGGGUGCGAGCGUUGUCCGGAUUUAUUGGGCGUAAAGAGCUCGUAGGCGGCUCGUCGCGUCGACCGUGAAAACCCGCGGCUUAACUGCGGGCUUGCGGUUGAUACGGGCGGGCUAGAGUUCGGUAGGGGAGACUGGAAUUCCUGGUGUAGCGGUGAAAUGCGUAGAUAUCAAGAGGAACACCAGUGGCGAAGGCGAGUCCCUGGACGAUACCUGACACUGAGGCACGAAAGCUAGGGGAGCAAACAGG